rnacentral:tRNA from 1 species
ACAAGGUAGCCGUAGGGGAACUGCGGCUGGAUCACCUCCUUUCUAAGGAUGAUCCUUCAGCGAGCUUCGGCUCACUAUCGGAUCGUUUUAGAAACAUCAGUGGCCAACAGUCGUCAGGAUUGUUGAGCUGCAUUGGCGGGAUUUCGCCGUCUUCGUUUCUCUUUCUUCGCGGACGAACACGCGCCGGGGCUGCGUUGUGCGAUUGCAUUUGGCGCUAGUCGCCGGUUGCUGCACGCCAAGACCCUAGUCCUUGAUAGGAUAGCGUUAGGGGCUUGUAGCUCAGUUGGUUAGAGCGCGCGCUUGAUAAGCGUGAGGUCGGAAGUUCAAGUCUUCCCAGGCCCACCACUUUCAUCGAGUGAGCAUUCGUCUUCUGGUUACGGGGCCAUAGCUCAGCUGGGAGAGCGCGUGCUUUGCAAGCAUGAGGUCGUCGGUUCGAUCCCGUCUGGNCUCCACCAGAUGGUUUGAUCAUCGACUGAUCGUGCACCUAAAUCGUCCGCGAAACAUCACUUCGCACUUGCUAGUCCGGAUGGACAGCAGGCUGCGUGAUUUCUGACAUCGUAAAGAGGAGAUCGAUCCGAGUUGGAUCGUGCAGAAGAUUUCUGCGCGAUACUUCAUUAUCUCCGGAUCAUUUCGGCGCUCACGCGUCCUUCAAGGUCAAACUUGAAAGACGGGCGAGUUGUAAAUGAUCCUUUUAGCGAAGCUUGACCGCCUCGCUAUCGGAACGAUCUUACGAAGCAAGCUGGUCUUUCUAAUCAUUGUCCGGCUGCAGAUAGCGUUCAUCGAGGGCGCGUGCCGCAAGGCAGUUCUGCAGACAACAUUCUGCCGAGUGUGUGGACAUUGAUAAUGAGAGCA